UCCAAGUCAAAAUCAAACUAUUUAUCAAGGCAAAUUAUCAUUAUAAAAUUUAAGGGAUAAAAUAUUUUGUCCUCCCUAAGGCUUGGAAGCUAGUGUUAGGUUAUCAAACUUGGAACUACAAAUAGCCGCCACAAAAGAGCAUCAGAAGAGGCAAGAUGUACUUAAUCAUAUCCUUCCUAAAUAAGAGAAAGAUUAAUCUUUCCAAACCCCUCUACCAAAUCUUCUGGUCAAUGAAUGCAAAGAAGAAGAAGCUCGUCGAAGAUGAAGAGUUACCAAAAAUAAUGUCUUGAUUUUUUCUUAAAGAGAGUGAAGA
rnacentral:lncRNA from 1 species